UGUCUACCCUGUUCGUGAAACAUUCGACUUUUAUAACCCUACAACCUUUAUUAUAGGGAGUCCGGCUCCGGCGUUCGGGAUUGCAGGCCUCCCACGGCUGUUUCAUUCAGCCGUGGACGUUGGAAGCGCAAAGGCGUUGGGAGGACACCCACCUGCUUAUGAGCAGGUUAUCAAAAUUCGAUAUACGGCAGGGUGGAUU
rnacentral:other from 1 species